GGAUAACCGWGGUAAUUCUAGAGCUAAUACAUGCUAAAAACCUCGACUUCGGAAGGGGUGUAUUUAUUAGAUAAAAAACCAAUGCCCUCCGGGGCUCCUUGGUGAUUCAUAAUAACUUAACGAAUCGCAUGGCCUUGCGCCGGCGAUGGUUCAUUCAAAUUUCUGCCCUAUCAACUUUCGAUGGUAGGAUAGUGGCCUACCAUGGUGGCAACGGGUAACGGGGAAUUAGGGUUCUAUUCCGGAGAGGGAGCCUGAGAAACGGCUACCACAUCCAAGGAAGGCAGCAGGCGCGCAAAUUACCCAAUCCCGACACGGGGAGGUAGUGACAAUAAAUACUGAUGUGGAGCUCUUUAGGGUUUCACAAUUGGAAUGAGAAAAAUCUAAACCACUUAAACGAGGAACAAUUGGAGGGCAAGUCUGGUGCCAGCAGCCGCGGUAAUUCCAGCUCCAAUAGCGUAUAUUAAAGUUGUUGCAGUUAAAAAGCUCGUAGUUGAACCUUGGGCCUGGCCGGUCGGUCCGCCUCACCGCGUGCACUGGUUCGGCCGGGCCUUUCCUCCUGGGGAACCGCAUGCCCUUCACUGGGUGUGCCGGGGAAUCAGGACUUUUACUUUGAAAAAAUUAGAGUGUUCAAAGCAGGCAUUUGCUCGAAUACAUUAGCAUGGAAUAAUAGAAUAGGACGUUGUGGUUCUAUUUUGUUGGUUUCUAGGACCGCCGUAAUGAUUAAUAGGGACG
rnacentral:rRNA from 1 species